UACGUAGGAUGCAAGCGUUGUCCGGAAUUAUUGGGCGUAAAGAGCGCGCAGGCGGUAUGACAAGUCAGAUGUGAAAGAGGCCGGCUUAACCGGCAAGGGUCAUUUGAAACUGUCAGACUAGAGUGCAGCAGAGGAUAGUGGAAUUCCCGGUGUAGUGGUGAAAUGCGUAGAUAUCGGGAGGAACACCAGUGGCGAAGGCGGCUCACUGGCCCGAUACUGACGCUGAGGCACGAAAGCGUGGGGAGCAAACAGG
rnacentral:rRNA from 1 species